rnacentral:piRNA from 1 species
UUGAACAACGGUGAUGCUUCAGAAA